UCCUUGACUAUUCGGGUGUGUUCUUUCCUCUCUCUUCUCUCUUAUUUUAUGUUUGUUUCUUCAUUGAGGACAAUGCAUAUUUUAAGUGUGGGGGAGGGAAUACUUUAUUUUCUUUGUUUUUGUUCUUUGUUUUGUUUUGUUUUUAUUUUCUUUCUAAAAAAAAUUGCAUCUUCUUGAAAGUUUUAGACUAUAGAUUACUUUGAGUCGAGUUUGCGGAGACUUGAGAAAAAUUCACAAGAUCGGUAUUCUUUUAACACCGUAAGUCUCCUGCAUAUGGAAAUUGAGUUGAAUUUUUAUUAUGUUUUAGCCUUACAUUCUCAUCCUCUGACAGCUUUUGAGUAGUUUAUUUCAGCAGUCAGCACCAUCUCACACACACUCUACGCAGGGAAG
rnacentral:lncRNA from 1 species